rnacentral:rRNA from 1 species
UACGAAGGGGACUAGCGUUGUUCGGAAUCACUGGGCGUAAAGCGCACGUAGGCGGAUAUGUCAGUCAGGGGUGAAAUCCCGGGGCUCAACCUCGGAACUGCCUUUGAUACAGCAUGUCUUGAGUCCGAUAGAGGUGGGUGGAAUUCCUAGUGUAGAGGUGAAAUUCGUAGAUAUUAGGAAGAACACCGGUGGCGAAGGCGGCCCACUGGAUCGGUACUGACGCUGAGGUGCGAAAGCUAGGGGAGCAAACGGG